GGAAGGCAGACUUGGACAGUCCAUUUGAUCUCAGAAAAUAUCAAGAGAGUGACAUUUCAACAGCUGGAAAGAGAUUGGUUCCCGUGGUUAGGAAUGGCAAGUUGCUUAUAUUACUCGUUGAGUUCAUGACCAGACCAUGCCCGUUACAGCCAGAUUAUCAUGCUCGAUAAAGUAUAUAGCUCAGACGAGAGCCAUGUGCAUCCAUCCUACAGUGUUUUGUAUUUGGUAAAUAAUUAGCUAUGUAUAUUUAUUACUACUCCAAGCUGUUUUAUGGGCUCUUCAAUCCUCCCCUGAAUUCUGCUGGCUAUAUAUAUUUAUUAUGUUGACCUUUAUGUAACGUAAAA